CUCAAUGGCCUGAUACGAUUGGCCAUACCGGCCCUUUAUUCUGAUCCAACAGCUAAGAUGGUGGGACCAGGCAUCUCUGCCGAUUGGUUUAAAAUACAAAUUGAUACUAGACAGGGCUGUCCUUUGGCCCCUUUGCUGUAUGUAUUGAUCCUGGAGCCAUUUGCAGCUAAUUUAAGAGUUAACUAUCAAAGUGAGGGUGUUCGGUUAGAUGAG